CAGCCGCGCCUGCUGGAGCCCGGUGGCCAGUGGCCGGCCGCUGGGGCCCAGUAUUGUCCUAAAGGCCGAAAAAAGAGGAAAGCCGGGAGGUUGGGGGACAGCCACGAGACCGGGAGAGGAUUUAUAACAUUUUCUUUCGCCGACAGUACUGCAAAAUGUAUGAAAGAGAGGGCGCCGCCGGGACAGGAGCGUGAGCGCGGGCAAGUUCCUCAGUGCUUUCCCCCUACCGGAAAUCUGAUGGGCUUAUGACAUCAUGGCUGGCUGCUGAGCGACGAAGUGGAUGCCACAAAGAAAUCCGACAUGUCAGAUGGAUUCUGAAAUCAGUUUCCCCCCGGCCGUAGUAACAGGCGUGAAGUCGGGAGAAGGUUUAUUGUAUGCCUACUCCAUGCUGGCACCAUGCUUGCAUCGAAGGUCGGGACCUGUGUGAGAGGAGAGAGAAUCGGUCAUGGGGUCUGGGAUCAGAUACCUGGAGGUGGAAUUGCUGGGUUAUAGGAAAACUCUGUGUUGAACCUUUCGACGAGCGGCUAGACGGUUUCCACGGUGGCUGCACCAUUUACAGCCCCCCCAGCGGUGUUGAGGGCUCCGAUUUCUCCACAUCCUCGUCAACACUUGCCGUCGCCUGUCUUUUGAUUGUAGCCAUUCCAGUGGGGGAGAAAUGGUAUCUCAUUAUGGUUUUGACUGAUAACUGAUGAUGUUGGGCAUCUUUCCAUACGCUUAUUGGCGAUUUGUAUGUCUUCUUUG